rnacentral:rRNA from 1 species
ACUGAAUAGAUACCCAGGUAGUCCACGCCGUAAACGAUGGGUACUAGCUGUUCGGAGCAAUCUGAGUGGCUAAAGCGAAAAAGUGAUAAGUAUCCCACCUGGGGAGUACGCACGCAAGUGUGAAACUCAAAGGAAUUGACGGGGGCCGCACAAGCGGUGGAGCAUGUGGUUUAAUUCGAUGAUACGCGAGGAACCUUACCAGGGCUUAAAUGUAGAUUGACAGGACUGGAAACAGUUUUUCUUCGGACAAUUUACAAGGUGCUGCAUGGUUGUCGUCAGCUCGUGCCGUGAGGUGUCAGGUUAAGUCCUAUAACGAGCGCAACCCCUGUCGUUAGUUGCCAGCGAGUCAUGUCGGGAACUCUAACGAGACUGCCAGUGUAAACUGUGAGGAAGGUGGGGAUGACGUCAAAUCAUCA